CAAGAUAUUAACUCAACAAUAAUGUUCGCCAGGGUACUACGAGCACUAGCUUAAAACCCAAAGGACUUNACGGUGCCUUAAACCCCCCUAGAGGAGCCUGUUCUAGAACCGAUAACCCCCGUUGAACCUCNCCAUUUCUAGCUAUAUCAGCCUAUAUACCGCCGUCGUCAGCUUACCCUGUGAGGGAAUAAAAGUAAGCAGAAGGAGUAAAACUCAAAAC
rnacentral:rRNA from 1 species